rnacentral:rRNA from 1 species
UUUAUGGAGAGUUUGAUCCUGGCUCAGGAUGAACGCUGGCGGCGUGCCUAAUACAUGCAAGUCGAGCGAACGGACGAGAAGCUUGCUUCUCUGAUGUUAGCGGCGGACGGGUGAGUAACACGUGGAUAACCUACCUAUAAGACUGGGAUAACUUCGGGAAACCGGAGCUAAUACCGGAUAAUAUUUUGAACCGCAUGGUUCAAAAGUGAAAGACGGUCUUGCUGUCACUUAUAGAUGGAUCCGCGCUGCAUUAGCUAGUUGGUAAGGUAACGGCUUACCAAGGCAACGAUGCAUAGCCGACCUGAGAGGGUGAUCGGCCACACUGGAACUGAGACACGGUCCAGACUCCUACGGGAGGCAGCAGUAGGGAAUCUUCCGCAAUGGGCGAAAGCCUGACGGAGCAACGCCGCGUGAGUGAUGAAGGUCUUCGGAUCGUAAAACUCUGUUAUUAGGGAAGAACAUAUGUGUAAGUAACUGUGCACAUCUUGACGGUACCUAAUCAGAAAGCCACGGCUAACUACGUGCCAGCAGCCGCGGUAAUACGUAGGUGGCAAGCGUUAUCCGGAAUUAUUGGGCGUAAAGCGCGCGUAGGCGGUUUUUUAAGUCUGAUGUGAAAGCCCACGGCUCAACCGUGGAGGGUCAUUGGAAACUGGAAAACUUGAGUGCAGAAGAGGAAAGUGGAAUUCCAUGUGUAGCGGUGAAAUGCGCAGAGAUAUGGAGGAACACCAGUGGCGAAGGCGACUUUCUGGUCUGUAACUGACGCUGAUGUGCGAAAGCGUGGGGAUCAAACAGGAUUAGAUACCCUGGUAGUCCACGCCGUAAACGAUGAGUGCUAAGUGUUAGGGGGUUUCCGCCCCUUAGUGCUGCAGCUAACGCAUUAAGCACUCCGCCUGGGGAGUACGACCGCAAGGUUGAAACUCAAAGGAAUUGACGGGGACCCGCACAAGCGGUGGAGCAUGUGGUUUAAUUCGAAGCAACGCGAAGAACCUUACCAAAUCUUGACAUCCUUUGACAACUCUAGAGAUAGAGCCUUCCCCUUCGGGGGACAAAGUGACAGGUGGUGCAUGGUUGUCGUCAGCUCGUGUCGUGAGAUGUUGGGUUAAGUCCCGCAACGAGCGCAACCCUUAAGCUUAGUUGCCAUCAUUAAGUUGGGCACUCUAAGUUGACUGCCGGUGACAAACCGGAGGAAGGUGGGGAUGACGUCAAAUCAUCAUGCCCCUUAUGAUUUGGGCUACACACGUGCUACAAUGGACAAUACAAAGGGCAGCGAAACCGCGAGGUCAAGCAAAUCCCAUAAAGUUGUUCUCAGUUCGGAUUGUAGUCUGCAACUCGACUACAUGAAGCUGGAAUCGCUAGUAAUCGUAGAUCAGCAUGCUACGGUGAAUACGUUCGGGUCUUGUACACACCGCCCGUCACACCACGAGAGUUUGUAACACCCGAAGCCGGUGGAGUAACCUUUUAGGAGCUAGCCGUCGAAGGUGGGACAAAUGAUUGGGGUGAAGUCGUAACAAGGUAGCCGUAUCGGAAGGUGCGGCUGGAUCACCUCCUUU